GUCUAUGGCCAUACCACCUGAACGUGCCCGAUCUCGUCUGAUCUUGGAAGCUAAGCAGGGUUGGGCCUGGUUAGUACUUGGAUGGGAGAACAGCUGAUCACUGUAAAGG
rnacentral:rRNA from 1 species